GCACAUUAUAGUAGUGGGUGUUGGCAAAAUAUUCGAUCUGAUUCAUUCUGUAAAGCAUAAACUUUACACAAUAUGUUUUUUAAUGGUGUUGAUAAUCGAUCGAUCAUAAUUAGGUUUAACCAUGCAAGUUUACUUACAAACCCUAUAUAUAUAACCAACAUGAAAGAAUUUAAUUUAAGUCAUCGAUCUGUUAAUUUCUUCCCGGCCCUUUUGGUGUGAGCAAUUCAUUCUCAUAAUUAAGAUUCUUGUUAUCGAUUAUAAUAAGUUUAAUUCUUCAAUUCAUUACUGUAUCUUCUCUGAUUUGUUCUUGAAUUGUUAGGAAGAUCGAUCGAUGUCGAUGAAGCUUGGGCCAAUCUUCCUCCAGAUGGUGUUAUUCUCCUUGAUAUUUUUUGGUUGUUACUUGGUCGUUGAUGGAUCAAUCGGCCGCAAUAACGAUCGACAAAAACAUACUGUGAAGGAUAUAGCUGGGUACUCUGGUGGUAGCACUAUCGACAACCAUCAUAGCAUAUCUCGAGAUCAAUAUGGGAAUUGGGGAAAAAGAAAUGGGGAAAUCCCUCCAGCUAAUGACGAGGACGCUAAUUAAUUAUCGAGGAGAAUCGAUCGUCGACCCCAGGCCUCUAGCAUGAGAGCAGUACUAUAAUUACAAUAAUGAUUGGAGAGUGUAUGUAAUAACUAGGUUUGCUUAAUCAAAUGGAGAAGAACAUCAAGCAUUAACAAAAACCCAACAAAAAAGUGUAUGCAUAUGCAUGCAUGCAUGCUUAAUUAAUUUUCUGUUGCUGA
rnacentral:lncRNA from 1 species